rnacentral:rRNA from 1 species
GUCUCAGUUCGGAUUGAAGGCUGAAAUUCGCCUUCAUGAAGCUGGAAUUGCUAGUAAUGGCAGGUCAGCAUACUGCCGUGAAUACGUUCCCGGGCCUUGUACACACCGCCCGUCACACCAUGAGAGUUGGGAAUACCCGAAGCCUGUGAGCUAACUGUAAGGAGGCAGCAGUCGAAGGUAGAAUCAAUGAUUGGGGUGAAGUCGUAACAAGGUAUC